rnacentral:antisense_RNA from 1 species
CUUCAACGAGCCCAGCCGCAGGGGCCGUUCCGGGUCCCUGCCCUGGCCGUAGGUCGCCAGCAGGGCCUGCGCCUC